ensembl:snRNA U6 U6 spliceosomal RNA
GUGCUUAAUUUUGCAGCACAUAUACUAAAUUAGAACCAUACAGAGAUUAGCACGGCCGCUGCCCAAGGAUGUCACACAAAAUUGUGAAGGGUUCCAUAUUUUU